AGAGUUUGAUCAUGGCUCAGGAUGAACGCUGGCGGCGUGCUUAACACAUGCAAGUCGAACGGGGUUACACCUUCGGGUGUAACUUAGUGGCGGACGGGUGAGUAACGCGUGGAUAACCUGGCCCAUACAGGGGGAUAGCAGCUGGAAACGGCUGAUAAUACCGCAUAAGCGCACGGGUUCGCAUGAACCUGUGUGAAAAGCUGAGGCGGUAUGGGAUGGAUCCGCGUCUGAUUAGGCAGUUGGCGGGGUAACGGCCCACCAAACCGACGAUCAGUAGCCGGCCUGAGAGGGUGGACGGCCACAUUGGGACUGAGACACGGCCCAAACUCCUACGGGAGGCAGCAGUGGGGAAUAUUGCACAAUGGGGGGAACCCUGAUGCAGCGACGCCGCGUGAGCGAGGAAGUAUUUCGGUAUGUAAAGCUCUAUCAGCAGGGAAGACAAUGACGGUACCUGACUAAGAAGCCCCGGCUAACUACGUGCCAGCAGCCGCGGUAAUACGUAGGGGGCAAGCGUUAUCCGGAUUUACUGGGUGUAAAGGGAGCGUAGACGGCGCAGCAAGUCUGAAGUGAAAGGACGGGGCUUAACCCUGUGACUGCUUUGGAAACUGCGGUGCUUGAGUGCCGGAGGGGUAAGCGGAAUUCCUAGUGUAGCGGUGAAAUGCGUAGAUAUUAGGAGGAACACCAGUGGCGAAGGCGGCUUACUGGACGGUAACUGACGUUGAGGCUCGAAGGCGUGGGGAGCAAACAGGAUUGGAUACCCUGGUAGUCCACGCGGUAAACGAUGAAUACUAGGUGUCAGG
rnacentral:rRNA from 1 species